GAUGAAGAACGUAGCGAAAUGCGAUAAGUAAUGUGAAUUGCAGAAUUCAGUGAAUCAUCGAAUCUUUGAACGCACAUUGCGCCCGCCAGCAUUCUGGCGGGCAUGCCUGUUCGAGCGUCAUUUCAACCCUCGAGCCCCCCCGGGGGCCUCGGCGUUGGGGGACGGCACACCAGCCGCCCCCGAAAUGCAGUGGCGACCCCGCCGCAGCCUCCCCUGCGUAGUAGCACACACCUCGCACCGGAGCGCGGAGGCGGUCACGCCGUAAAACGCCCAACUUUCUUAGAGUUGACCUCGGAUCAGGUAGGAAUACCCGCUGAACUUAAGCAUAUCAAUAAGCGGAGGA
rnacentral:misc_RNA from 1 species